rnacentral:rRNA from 1 species
GACGAACGCUGGCGGCGUGCUUAACACAUGCCAGUCGAACGGAAAGGCCCUGCUUUUGUGCGCUGCUCGAGUGGCCAACGGGUGAGUAACACUUGGGUAACCUGCACUUGACUGUGGGGUAACUUCAGGCAACUGGGGCUCAUAGCGCAUAGGAGCUACUGCUGCAGGGUGGGGGUGGGAAAGUUUCGGCGGUUGGUGAUGGAAUCGCCGCUUAUCAGCUUGUUUGGGGGGUAGUGGAUUACCAAGGCUAUGACGCGUAGCAGGCCUGGGAGGGUGAGCGGCCACGUUGGGAUUGGGAUACGACACAGACUACAAUGGGACGGAGGAGUGGAGAGUAGUGUAUAAGGGGCGGAGGCCUGAUCUAGCAACGCCGCGUGGGGGAUGACGGGCUGCGGGUUGUAAACUGCUUUCGCUUGUCACGAAGCGUGAGUGACGGUAAUGGGUAAAGAAGCACCGGCUAACUACGUG